UGUGCAGGCGGGGAAGCAAGUGGUGUAUGAAAUCUCCCAGCUUAACUGGGAUAGGUUAUGCCAGACUGCUUUUCUAGAGGACGAGAGAGGGGGGUGGAAUUCCGGGUGUAGUGGUGAAAUGCGUAGAGAUCCGGAGGAACCCCAGAGGCGAAGGCGGCCCCCUGGCUCGUACCUGACGCUCAGCCACGAAAGCAUGGGGAGCAACG
rnacentral:rRNA from 1 species